UACGAAGGGGCUAGCGUUGCUCGGAAUCACUGGGCGUAAAGCGCACGUAGGCGGACUCUUAAGUCAGGGGUGAAAUCCUGGAGCUCAACUCCAGAACUGCCUUUGAUACUGGGAGUCUUGAGUUCGGGAGAGGUGAGUGGAACUGCGAGUGUAGAGGUGAAAUUCGUAGAUAUUCGCAAAGAACACCAGUGGCGAAGGCGGCUCACUGGCCCGAUACUGACGCUGAGGUGCGAAAGCGUGGGGAGCAACAGGG
rnacentral:rRNA from 1 species